rnacentral:rRNA from 1 species
UACGUAGGCAGCAAGCGUUGUUCGGAAUCACUGGGCUUAAAGCGUGUGUAGGCGGAUCGUUAAGUGUCUUGUGAAAAUCCCACGGCUCACCCGUGGAACGGCUGGGCAUACUGGCGAUCUUGGGCCAACUAGGGGCAGUCGGAACAAGCGGUGGAGCGGUGAAAUGCGUAGAUAUCGCUUGGAACGCCGAAGGUGAAAACAGACUGCUGGGGUUGCGCCGACGCUGAGACACGAAAGCCAGGGGAGCAAACGGG